ACUGUAAAGACAUCAGUAUCAAUCUUUCCAAAGCAGAGGGCAAGUGUAUUGUCAGGAGGGAAAUGAACUUACAACAGCAAAAAUGCUGGGGGCAGGAGACUAUGGGUAGGCAUUUAUUUUCAGUAGCUAGUAGAGUGACAGAUUCAGUAAAUAGCUGUAGAAGAAACAGGAGGAAAAGAAAGGAUGAAGUCACUAUUGCUAGACUGAGAAUUAGUUAUACUUUCUUUAACAGUGCUCUCUUCCUCCUAGGAAAGCACCAGGAUGGACUAUGUUUGGAAUGUCCACAGCCAGAAACAGUGCAGCAUGUCCUCAUGUAUUGUAACAAAUAUUCCAGAGAAAGGCAAGAGCUUCUCUCAGAAUUUAGAAUUAUAGGCCUGAAAGAAGUUUCUGUAGAUGUAUUUUAGACAUAGGGUCAAGUAGGAGGGGGAAGUGUUGGCUUUUUAAAUACUUGAAAUAUACUGAACUCAAUGAGAGGAUUUAGUACUGCUAUAACAGACUGAUGCAGACGGUGGCACUGAUGCAACAAUAAGUAUGCCGGCUGCCGUUAACCGGCACAGAAGAAGAGAGGUGCGCUUAAUUUAUUCACUGGGGCAGAUUUUGAGAAAGCCCGUAUUUCCAAAAUGCCACAAAAAAAAAUAAAAGUACUUAAUUUACUCAUCUGUGAUCAGACAGUCUGAAAAACAGCAAAGUCGUGCACGUUCGUGGCAAGCUAGAUUCUUGUGAACCUGGCUUGCAGUGCUUAACCUUACUUUGCUAGCCCAGAAUCUCUUAACAUUGUUAAUAGCACCACACCAAAAAUGAUCAAUGGAUCGCUUGAUUAUGUUUAAGUACACUUGCACAUAAAAAGGAAAGACAACACUGGAUUUGCCUACCUGAAUCAUUCAUGUUCCCAUCAGUCUUCUCAACUGAAGCUAUUCACGUGAUUGAUGGGCAAGGAAUACUUUUUUCUGUCUUGCUUUCUGC